GAAUCAGGUAGGAAUACCCGCU
rnacentral:rRNA from 1 species